rnacentral:rRNA from 1 species
AUGCUUUGCUCCGGCCGCAUGCUAGCGUGCAGCGGCCUGAGCCCCGGGAGGCUCCGGCCGCCGCGCGCCUACGCUGACCGGCUGCGUCCCCCGCUCUCCGCCCGCAGGUGGCGGGUCGCCGCCUCCGCCGCGGCUCCCGGCGGCUCCCCCGACCUGCCGUCGUCGUCAUCGACGCCCCCGCCGUUUGGCGCCGGGGACGAACAGGCCGCGGCCGCUGCGGCCUCCUCCUCCUCAGGGUUUUGCAUCAUUGAAGGGCCUGAGACAGUUCAAGAUUUUGAUAAGCUAGAUUUGCAGGAGAUUCUUGAUAAUAUCAGGAGCCGCCGGAACAAGAUAUUCUUGCAUAUGGAGGAGAUUCGCAGAUUGAGAAUACAACAAAGAAUAAAAAAUGCUGAACUUGGAAUCUCAAAUGAAGAGCCUGAAGGAGAACUCCCAGAUUUUCCAUCAUUCAUACCCUUUUUGCCUCCCCUGAGUGCAGCUAAUCUGAAGGUCUACUAUGCUACAUGUUUCUCUCUCAUUGCUGCAAUAAUGGUCUUUGGUGGAUUUCUUGCACCAAUUCUGGAACUUAAACUUGGUAUAGGAGGCACAUCUUAUGCAGAUUUCAUCCGAAAUGUUCAUCUGCCUAUGCAACUGAGCCAGGUAGAUCCUAUUGUGGCAUCCUUCUCAGGUGGAGCAGUCGGAGUUAUCUCCGCCCUAAUGGUUGUUGAGAUAAACAAUGUCAAGCAACAGGAGCAUAAACGGUGCAAAUAUUGUUUAGGAACUGGGUAUCUGGCUUGUGCCCGCUGUUCAAGCACGGGAGCUGUUGUGCUUACUGAGCCUGUUUCAACAUUCAGUGAUGGUGAUCAACCUUUAUCAGCACCAAAAACCGAGAGAUGUCCAAACUGCUCUGGUGCUGGAAAGGUGAUGUGCCCCACAUGCCUCUGUACAGGGAUGGCAAUGGCAAGUGAGCAUGAUCCUCGAAUCGACCCCUUUGAUUAA